GCCUCCCAUUAAGUUAGAUGACAAUGAGUCCAAUAGUUUAGAUGAUCAUUGGAGGUGCCACAUAUCUGGUGCUCAUCUGGCUAUUGUAAUUAUCAUUCAUAAUAUAUGGAUUUAGUUGUGUCUUUCUGAUGAUGAUCAGAUUGGUCGAGCCACACUCAAGCCUGAUUACUCAUUUGUCAGAUGUACUAAAUUCUGACAUAUUAAUGGUUGGA
rnacentral:lncRNA from 1 species